GAAAAGUGCUCAGGAGAUAACUCAUGUCCCAAGGGAAUGAAAUGCUGCAGCAUUGGAUGUGGCCAUGCAUGCCUACCUGCUAUCCAUGUGGUGACUGUUUGAAGAUAAAGAUCUAAAGUGAUGGAGUGACCGAUUAUAAAGAGCUUGUGUCCAAAAUAAAUCUUAUCUGUGGCAUUA